rnacentral:rRNA from 1 species
GACGAACGCUGGCGGCGUGCUUAACACAUGCAAGUCGAACGGAAAGGCCCUGCUUUUGUGGGGUGCUCGAGUGGCGAACGGGUGAGUAACACGUGAGUAACCUGCCCUUCUCUUUGGGAUGACUUCAGGAAGGUGGGGCUACUAUCGGAUAGGAGUUCCUGCUGCAUGGUGGGCGUUGGAACGUUUCGGCGGUUGGGGAUGGACUCGCGGCUGAUCGGCUUGUUGGUUGGGUAGUGGCUUACCAAGGCUUUGACCGGUAGGCGGCCUGCGAGGGUGACCGGCGACAUGGGGACUGAGAUACGGCCCAGACUCCUACGGGAGGCAGCAGUGGGGAAUAUUACACAAUGGGCGGAAGCCUGAUGCAGCAACGCCGCGUGCGGGAAGACGUCCUGCGGGUAGUGAACCGCAGUCGCCUGUUACGAAGCGUUAGUGACGGUAAUGGAUAAAGAAGCACCGGCUAACUUCGUG